GACCGGGAAGCUCCUCAUUCUCUAUCUGCUCUACCGUCAGAUCACUGCAGCGGUCGGGCUCCACUCGACCGCAGGGCACCCGCAGACGGUGCGGCCGCUCGUCGCGCCGAUGGCCCUGGCCGCGGCUGAGCGGCAGGUCGGCACCAUCGACGAGCCGACAUCGGAGAAGGUGAAGAGCUAUUCCGCAGCGACCGACAAUGUCGGCCUUUUCUUCGGUGAGGACAUCUUCUUUGCGAUUGGGUCGAUCGUCCUCAUCCAGCAGACCUUGGCCACCUACGGCUACGACCUCACGCCGCUACAGCUUGCGCUGUGGGCGAUCCCGACGGCCAUAUUCGCCUUCAUCAUCCACGGCACACGGCUGUGGCUGCUCGACAGGAGGCUGAGAGAAACCUCUCC
rnacentral:misc_RNA from 1 species